rnacentral:rRNA from 1 species
GAUGAACGCUGGCGGCGUGCCUAAUACAUGCAAGUCGAACGAAACUUCUUUAUCACCGAGUGCUUGCACUCACCGAUAAAGAGUUGAGUGGCGAACGGGUGAGUAACACGUGGGCAACCUGCCCAAAAGAGGGGGAUAACACUUGGAAACAGGUGCUAAUACCGCAUAACCAUAGUUACCGCAUGGUAACUAUGUAAAAGGUGGCUAUACUACCGCUUUUGGAUGGGCCCGCGGCGCAUUAGCUAGUUGGUAGGGUAAAGGCUUACCAGGGCAAUGAUGCGUAGCCGAAUUGAGAGGUUGAUCGGCCACAUUGGGACUGAGACACGGCCCAAACUCCUACGGGAGGCAGCAGUAGGGAAUCUUCCACAAUGGGCGAAAGCCUGAUGGAGCAACGCCGCGUGGGUGAAGAAGGUCUUCGGAUCGUAAAACCCUGUUGUUAGAGAAGAAAGUGCGUGAGAGUAACUGUUCACGUUUCGACGGUAUCUAACCGGAAAGCCACGGCUAACUACGUG